rnacentral:rRNA from 1 species
CAGACUUGCUUGUAGUUGCUUAUCCAGGCUCCUGCCUGGUGCACUCUUCUGCGAGCAGGCCAGCAUCAGUUUGGGCGGUUGGAUAAAGGUCUCUGUCACGUACCUCCCUUCGGGGUGGCCUUAUAGGGGAGACGUCAUGCAGCCAGCCCAGACUGAGGUCCGCGCAUUUGCUAGGAUGCUGGCGUAAUGGUGGUAAGCGGCCCGUCUUGAAACACGGACCAAGGAGUCUAACAUCUAUGCGAGUGUUUGGGUGUCAAGCCCAGGCGCGUAAUGAAAGUGAAUGGAGGUGGGAACCCUUUAGGGCGCACCAUCGACCGAUCCUGAUGUCUUCGGAUGGAUUUGAGUAAGAGCAUAGCUGUUGGGACCCGAAAGAUGGUGAACUAUGCUUGAAUAGGGUGAAGCCAGAGGAAACUCUGGUGGAGGCUCGCAGCGGUUCUGACGUGCAAAUCGAUCGUCAAAUUUGGGCAUAGGGGCGAAAGACUAAUCGAACUAUCUAGUAGCUGGUUCCUGCCGAAGUUUCCCUCAGGAUAGCAGUAACGUUUUCAGUUUUAUGAGGUAAAGCGAAUGAUUAGAGGCCUGGGGGUUGAAACAACCUUCACCUAUUCUCAAACUUUAAAUAUGUAAGAAGUCCUUGUUUCUUAAUUGAACGUGGACACUCGAAUGUAUCGUUACUAGUGGGCCAUUUUUGGUAAGCAGAACUGGCGAUGCGGGAUGAACCGAACGCGGGGUUAAGGUGCCAGAAUGCACGCUUAUCAGACACCACAAAAGGUGUUAGUUCAUCUAG